GUCUAUAGCCACACCACUAUGAACGUCUCAAUCUCAUCUGAUCUUGGAAGCUAAGCAGGAUUGGCUAAGUUAGUACUUGGAUGGGAGAGAAACAACUGAUCUCUUCUGAGA
rnacentral:rRNA from 1 species